rnacentral:tRNA from 1 species
UCUGAUAGCUCUCUGAUAGUUGGUAAAGAAUCUGCCUGCAAUGCAGGAGAUCCUGGUUCAAUUCCUGGGUCAGAA